rnacentral:rRNA from 1 species
UUWKGAAGAUGACGAGCGGGGACGGGUGAGUAAUGCCUGGGAAUUUGCCCAUUUGUGGGGGAUAACAMKUGGAAACGACUGCUAAUACCGCAUACGCCCUACGGGGGAAAGCAGGGGAACUUCGGUCCUUGCGCUGAUGGAUAAGCCCAGGUGGGAUUAGCUAGUAGGUGAGGUAAUGGCUCACCUAGGCRACGAUCCCUAGCUGGUCUGAGAGGAUGAUCAGCCACACUGGGACUGAGACACGGCCCAGACUCCUACGGGAGGCAGCAGUGGGGAAUAUUGCACAAUGGGGGAAACCCUGAUGCAGCCAUGCCGCGUGUGUGAAGAAGGCCUUCGGGUUGUAAAGCACUUUCAGCGAGGAGGAAAGGUUAGUAGUUAAUACCUGCUAGCUGUGACGUUACUCGCAGAAGAAGCACCGGCUAACUCCGUGCCAGCAGCCGCGGUAAUACGGAGGGUGCGAGCGUUAAUCGGAAUUACUGGGCGUAAAGCGUGCGCAGGCGGUUUGUUAAGCGAGAUGUGAAAGCCCCGGGCUCAACCUGGGAACCGCAUUU